rnacentral:rRNA from 1 species
UACGUAGGGGGCAAGCGUUGUCCGGAUUUAUUGGGCGUAAAGAGCGUGUAGGCGGCCUGACAGGUCUGCUGUGAAAACUCGAGGCUCAACCUCGAGAUGUCGGCGGAAACCGUCUGGCUAGAGUCCGGAAGAGGAGAGUGGAAUUCCUGGUGUAGCGGUGAAAUGCGCAGAUAUCAGGAAGAACACCUAUGGCGAAGGCAGCUCCUCUGGGACGGUACUGACGCUGAGACGCGAAAGCGUGGGGAGCGAACAGG